AGCAUCGCAGCGGCGAUAGAAAACCUUUGGGCUUGGGUAGCGUUUAAACCCUUGAGGUGCUGCUGGAAAGCGAUUCGGGUCACAAAUGAACUAUCUGCCAACGUAGAGAAGUGUCCGCGGAAUCCUGGAAGUGAUGAGGGUCACGAAUGGCAUUUUCUGGGAGCUGAAACAGAACUUCGGAAAAUCUGGAAACUUCGGAAACUACCUACCUAUGAAGGUGCCCCAGAUAAUGCUCAGUUAUUGCUGUUUACUUGACGUGUCAAUGUCAAGUUUGAAAUGGCUGAAGAAUUGGAUCCUACAAAUGGUGCAUAAAGAACAGUGACAAGUUGAGAAGCUCUAUAAUGCAGUACAAACCGAGGGGCUUCCCCAAAGCCUGGGAUCCAUGAACCCCAGAUUAAGAAUCCCUCGAUGAAAAUCUUAUAGAAAGUUCACAGUGGAGAGUAAGUGGCAGGGAAGGCAAGAGGGGAAUUGCGGAAUAUGGUGUGUCCACUUCAGGCAAGGAGUAGCAACAUCCAGGAUGUUUUCCUGCCCUAGGAAGAUACACGUGAAGCCGGAAAGUACCAGUUGUAACUGCUUAAAACAAGAAAUCUGAGUCCAUGACUGACUACAUAAUUUGCAGAACUAAAUGGAAAAUGAAAAUGCAGAGCCCUUACCCCCUGGGAGGAAAAAAAUGCUAUUAAAGGAAACUCAUUUACCCCAUCACAUGGCUUCAAAUACCACCAUGUGACAGUGAUGCGCUUGGAGUGACAUUACUGGAUCUGUUUCUCCUGUAUAAGAAAUGCUCCAGAGUCCAAACAUCAGAAAGUGUAGUUUGUACAAACUCUGAACUUUGCGAUUUGAAAUGAAACCUCUAAACCAGUCUACUGGGGUAAGUAAGUUUUUAUAUUUUAGAAACUGCUGGAUUGUGUUUCCGAUUCUGUGUCUCCCUCUCUCUCUGCCCCUCCCCGUUCAUGCUCUGUCUCUCUCUGUCCCAAAAAUAAAUAAAUGUUGAAAAAAAAAUUAAAAAAAAAAAAAAGAAACUGCUGGAUUGAUAUAAAAUCUGUCAUUAACGCAUCCCCAAAGCCACCAUUAUCAUCAGGGACACUAACUUCAUAUAACCAGACCCCAUAUACACUUGGAGGCAACCUUCAGUUUCAAAAUCACCAGACAAGGGUUAACUUCCAAAGGAGUGGCUUCCUGGGGGAAGAUAUUGGCCAACUUGUAUUCUAGCAGCCUCAAGAAGCCAGCCGUUAGGGAUUCCACACUGUCAUCACCCUAGCUGGACAUGAGGUGAGACAGCCAGGAACUCGUGUUCCUCUCACCUCUCCGAAGCAGGCUGGAGGGGAGCCCCAGACAAUGCAUUCUUCUGUUUCUUCAAUGAGGGCUGUCUGUCUUCCAGCAUGGCCAUGCUUGGGCAUUUCUCCAAGAUGGCACCCAAAGGUGUGCUUUGAUUAACCAGAGGGUUGAACCCUGCAAUUGUAGUAUGUAAGAGCUCCCCUGGGAGGGGAACCCUUGGCACAGAAGGAGGACAAAGAUGAUGUGGCAAUUGCUUGCUGGGGCUGCCAGAAAUCAUGAUUCUCUUAGAUGUAACUGUAAGAAGACCUAGGCGCUUGGUCAUCUCAGCAGCUACACAUGGACUCAGCCCCCUUUCUGGGCCAGUGCCUUUCUGUUUCAUUGUCUCCUCCUGAAAACCUGCAGUUCAGGUCAUGAAGAGCAAGACCCCAUGCUGCAGCCCACCCCAGCCCCCAGCCCUGCACAGCUGCUGUUUUCUAGUACCCUGCUCUAGUUCCCUGCUCGGGAACUGGAGAUUGGGACAGAGAGUAGCUUUAACCUGUAAUCCUUGUGGCCAGUGAAUAAGAUAGGUCCUGACAGUCCUGUUUCAGAUCCCUAAGGGUAUUCUGACGGGCUUCCUUCACUAAGGGUCUCCCAAAGAAGGUGGACCAUAGCUGCGAGGAACCAAGAGUGAGACAUCAGUACUGGGUAAAGGAAGUGCCGCAUCAUACUCAUUCUUCCUGCUUUUUGACUUACGCCCUGAUCUAACAGGGGACAGGCCAUUUAUAGCAGAGUUGGUUCAGAUACAUGAUCCAGGGAUGUAAGAUCACCAGGGGGUCAGCAAGUCAAUGGCAUUUCUUUUUUUUUUUAAGUUUU